rnacentral:rRNA from 1 species
GACAGAGGGUGCAAACGUUGUUCGGAAUUACUGGGCGUAAAGCGCGUGUAGGUGGCAAGGCAAGUCGGGUGUGAAAGCCCAGGGCUCAACCCUGGAAGUGCAUUCGAUACUGCCUAGCUAGAGUCCCGGAGAGGAUGGUGGAACUCUCGGUGUAGAGGUGAAAUUCGUAGAUAUCGAGAAGAACACCGGUGGCGAAGGCGGCCAUCUGGACGGUGACUGACACUGAGACGCGAAAGCGUGGGGAGCAAACAGG